UACGUAGGGUGCGAGCGUUAAUCGGAAUUACUGGGCGUAAAGAGUGCGCAGGCGGCCGCGCAAGUCGAGUGUGAAAGCCCCGAGCUUAACUUGGGAAUUGCGCUCGAAACUACGUGGCUGGAGUGUGGCAGAGGAAGGUGGAAUUCCACGUGUAGCGGUGAAAUGCGUAGAGAUGUGGAGGAACACCGAUGGCGAAGGCAGCCUUCUGGGCCAACACUGACGCUCAUGCACGAAAGCGUGGGGAGCAAACAGG
rnacentral:rRNA from 1 species